UAUCCAUACACAGAAGAUUAAAUAGACGUAUAAAGUGAAUAAUUGAUU
rnacentral:guide_RNA from 1 species